AGAGUUUGAUCCUGGCUCAGAUUGAACGCUGGCGGCAUGCCUUACACAUGCAAGUCGAACGGUAACAGCACUUCGGUGGCUGACGAGUGGUGAACGGGUGAGUAAUACAUCGGAACGUGCCCGAGAGUGGGGGAUAACGCAGCGAAAGCUGUGCUAAUACCGCAUACGAUCUACGGAUGAAAGCAGGGGACCGCAAGGCCUUGCGCUCACGGAGCGGCCGAUGGCAGAUUAGGUAGUUGGUGGGAUAAAAGCUUACCAAGCCGACGAUCUGUAGCUGGUCUGAGAGGACGACCAGCCACACUGGGACUGAGACACGGCCCAGACUCCUACGGGAGGCAGCAGUGGGGAAUUUUGGACAAUGGGCGAAAGCCUGAUCCAGCCAUGCCGCGUGCAGGAUGAAGGCCUUCGGGUUGAAAACUGCUUUUGUACGGAACGAAAAGGUCUUUUC
rnacentral:rRNA from 1 species